GACGAACGCUGGCGGCGUGCUUAACACAUGCAAGUCGAACGGAAAGGCCCUGCUUUUGUGGGGUGCUCGAGUGGCGAACGGGUGAGUAACACGUGAGUAACCUGCCCUUGACUUUGGGAUAACUUCAGGAAACUGGGGCUAAUACCGGAUAGGAGCUCCUGCUGCAUGGUGGGUGUUGGAAAGUUUCGGCGGUUGGGGAUGGACUCGCGGCUUAUCAGCUUGUUGGUGGGGUAGUGGCUUACCAAGGCUUUGACGGGUAGCCGGCCUGAGAGGGUGACCGGCCACAUUGGGACUGAGAUACGGCCCAGACUCCUACGGGAGGCAGCAGUGGGGAAUAUUGCACAAUGGGCGGAAGCCUGAUGCAGCAACGCCGCGUGCGGGAUGACGGCCUUCGGGUUGUAAACCGCUUUCGCCUGUGACGAAGCGUGAGUGACGGUAAUGAGUAAAGAAGCACCGGCUAACUACGUG
rnacentral:rRNA from 1 species